rnacentral:rRNA from 1 species
CAGUAGCCGCGGGAAUACGAAGGUCCCGAGCGUUGUUCGGAAUCACUGGGCGUAAAGGGAGCGUAGGCGGCGUGGUAAGUCAGAUGUGAAAUCCCGGGGCUCAACCCCGGAACUGCAUCCGAUACUGCUAUGCUAGAGGAUUGGAGAGGUAGCUGGAAUUCUUGGUGUAGCAGUGAAAUGCGUGGAGAUCAAGAGGAACACUCGUGGCGAAAGCGAGCUACUGGACAAUAUCUGACGCUGAGGCUCGAAGGCCAGGGUAGCGAAAGGGAUUAGAUACCCGGGUAGUCCCUGUCUCUUAUAC